UCCCUGGUGGCUCAGACAGUAAAGCAUCUGCCUGCAAUGUAGGAGACCUGGGUUCGAUCCCUUGGUUGGGAA
rnacentral:tRNA from 1 species